UUUUUCCACCGGAGCUUGCUCCACCGGAAAAAGAAGAGUGGCGAACGGGUGAGUAACACGUGGGUAACCUGCCCAUCAGAAGGGGAUAACACUUGGAAACAGGUGCUAAUACCGUAUAACAAUCGAAACCGCAUGGUUUUGAUUUGAAAGGCGCUUUCGGGUGUCGCUGAUGGAUGGACCCGCGGUGCAUUAGCUAGUUGGUGAGGUAACGGCUCACCAAGGCCACGAUGCAUAGCCGACCUGAGAGGGUGAUCGGCCACAUUGGGACUGAGACACGGCCCAAACUCCUACGGGAGGCAGCAGUAGGGAAUCUUCGGCAAUGGACGAAAGUCUGACCGAGCAACGCCGCGUGAGUGAAGAAGGUUUUCGGAUCGUAAAACUCUGUUGUUAGAGAAGAACAAGGAUGAGAGUAACUGUUCAUCCCUUGACGGUAUCUAACCAGAAAGCCACGGCUAACUACGUGCCAGCAGCCGCGGUAAUACGUAGGUGGCAAGCGUUGUCCGGAUUUAUUGGGCGUAAAGCGAGCGCAGGCGGUUUCUUAAGUCUGAUGUGAAAGCCCCCGGCUCAACCGGGGAGGGUCAUUGGAAACUGGGAGACUUGAGUGCAGAAGAGGAGAGUGGAAUUCCAUGUGUAGCGGUGAAAUGCGUAGAUAUAUGGAGGAACACCAGUGGCGAAGGCGGCUCUCUGGUCUGUAACUGACGCUGAGGCUCGAAAGCGUGGGGAGCAAACAGGAUUAGAUACCCUGGUAGUCCACGCCGUAAACGAUGAGUGCUAAGUGUUGGAGGGUUUCCGCCCUUCAGUGCUGCAGCUAACGCAUUAAGCACUCCGCCUGGGGAGUACGACCGCAAGGUUGAAACUCAAAGGAAUUGACGGGGGCCCGCACAAGCGGUGGAGCAUGUGGUUUAAUUCGAAGCAACGCGAAGAACCUUACCAGGUCUUGACAUCCUUUGACCACUCUAGAGAUAGAGCUUCCCCUUCGGGGGCAAAGUGACAGGUGGUGCAUGGUUGUCGUCAGCUCGUGUCGUGAGAUGUUGGGUUAAGUCCCGCAACGAGCGCAACCCUUAUUGUUAGUUGCCAUCAUUCAGUUGGGCACUCUAGCAAGACUGCCGGUGACAAACCGGAGGAAGGUGGGGAUGACGUCAAAUCAUCAUGCCCCUUAUGACCUGGGCUACACACGUGCUACAAUGGGAAGUACAACGAGUCGCGAAGUCGCGAGGCUAAGCUAAUCUCUUAAAGCUUCUCUCAGUUCGGAUUGUAGGCUGCAACUCGCCUACAUGAAGCCGGAAUCGCUAGUAAUCGCGGAUCAGCACGCCGCGGUGAAUACGUUCCCGGGCCUUGUACACACCGCCCGUCACACCACGAGAGUUUGUAACACCCGAAGUCGGUGAGGUAAC
rnacentral:rRNA from 1 species